rnacentral:rRNA from 1 species
CACGUAGGGGGCAAGCGUUGUCCGGAUUUAUUGGGCGUAAAGAGCUCGUAGGCGGUUCGGCAAGUCGGGUGUGAAACCCCCAGGCUCAACCUGGGGACGCCACCCGAUACUGCUGUGACUUGAGUCCGGUAGGGGAGCGUGGAAUUCCUGGUGUAGCGGUGAAAUGCGUAGAUAUCGUAAGGAAGACCAGUGGCGAAGGCGGGUCUCUGGACAGUUCCUGACGCUGAGGCACGAAGGCCAGGGGAGCAAACGGG